rnacentral:rRNA from 1 species
GAGACACGGCCCAGACUCCUACGGGAGGCAGCAGUGGGGAAUAUUGCACAAUGGGCGAAAGCCUGAUGCAGCGACGCCGCGUGAGGGAUGACGGCCUUCGGGUUGUAAACCUCUUUCAGCAGGGAAGAAGCGAAAGUGACGGUACCUGCAGAAGAAGCGCCGGCUAACUACGUGCCAGCAGCCGCGGUAAUACGUAGGGCGCAAGCGUUGUCCGGAAUUAUUGGGCGUAAAGAGCUCGUAGGCGGCUUGUCACGUCGGUUGUGAAAGCCCGGGGCUUAACCCCGGGUCUGCAGUCGAUACGGGCAGGCUAGAGUGUGGUAGGGGAGAUCGGAAUUCCUGGUGUAGCGGUGAAAUGCGCAGAUAUCAGGAGGAACACCGGUGGCGAAGGCGGAUCUCUGGGCCAUUACUGACGCUGAGGAGCGAAAGCGUGGGGAGCGAACAGGAUUAGAUACCCUGGUAGUCCACGCCGUAAACGGUGGGAACUAGGUGUUGGCGACAUUCCACGUCGUCGGUGCCGCAGCUAACGCAUUUAAGUUCCCCGCCUGGGGAGUACGGCCGCAAGGCUAAAACUCAAAGGAAUUGACGGGGGCCCGCACAAGCAGCGGAACAUGUGGCUUAAUUCGACGCAACGCGAAGAACCUUACCAAGGCUUGACAUAUACCGGAAAGCAUCAGAGAUGGUGCCCCCCUUGUGGUC